UGUUCCUUGAAGCACAUAAGUUUUAUAAUUUUGAUGAAGUUUUAUUAUUCUCACGUAUGUCUUUAUCAGCAGCGUGAAAAUGGGCUAAUACAACUUGUUACCAUUUGGCUUUUUUCUUGGUAAUAACCUUCCUAACAAGUGAUAUCUCAUUGUGAUUUUGAUCUGCAUUUUCCUGAUGAUUAGUGAUAUUGAGCACCCUUUCAUAUACCCAUUGGCUGUUUGUAAGUCUUCUCUGGAAAAAUGUCCUUUUUUACAGACAGCAGGCACUACAUUUACCAUCAGAACUCUUCAUUUUGCAUUUCUCUUUAAAAUUUUUGUUAAAAUCACAUUUACUUAAGGUGUGUGAUGUGAUGUUUUGAUAUACAUAUACACAGUAAACCGAAUACUACAGGGAAGCUACUUAAUGUAUUCCUGUCCUCACACAAUUACCAUUUUUUGUGGUAAGAGCACUCAGAGUCUGCUCUCUUAGCAAAUGUCAAGAAAGGUUAUUAAGAUUUAUGCCUGUGUUUUCUUCUAGGAGUUUUAUAGUUUUAUCUCUUGUGUUUACGUCUUUGAUCCAUUUGGAGUUAAUUUUGUAUAUAGUAUAGAGUAGGCGUCCAAAUUAAUUUUUAAAGAUAGAUAUCCAGUUUUCCUACCACAACUUGUUUAAAAAGAUUUGUUAAAGAAGGGUGCCAAGAUAAUUUAAUGAGACAGUCUUCUCCAGCAGAGAGAAGUGAGUACUAAAAAAGAGGUUAAAAAA